AGCUCCACCGCCACAGGACCCCGCUGGCCCUCCCGGCGAGGGAAGAGUUAAUGGCGAUUAGCUUGGGCUGAUAGCUCGGGCUCCAAAGUUCAGCGGAGCCACCCCGGAGGAAUUGUAAAUCUCAGGGCAGUAUUUAACAAAACAAAAGCAACCUGGAAUUAUAUGCAGGUUUGGUUUUCUACAGUACAUAUUUACUUAAUCCCCUAGGUAUGUGGCUCCAUGUCAGAUCAGCUGGCUUUGCUGGCCCUUUCACCCCCCUGGCUCACAACAGUUUAAGUUUCAAACUAAUUCCCUGUUUUUGCUGUUCCUCUUCUCAGGGCUGGCUGGAGACAGCCCGGCCUGCCCGCCUCAGAUCUCUCUCUCCACUGCUCUAGUCACUGGGUGAGUCAGCCUGGCUUGGGCCGGAGUUGGGUGACAGCCGGAUGGCCCUCCCCACUCUCCGGCACCAGAUUUCCAAACACCUGGGCCUCUGAGUGUCUGUCAGGCCAGGCUAGACCAUCCAACACCGCUCCUCCCUUUUCAAACCCAAACCAACGAUCCCCUCUCUUCCUGCCUCCGGAGCUGCAGUCGCCCAGGUUGGGGCUGGGAAGCGAGUUGCCAAGGAAAAUACGAAGCGCCAGCUAGCAGGCGGCUCCCAGCUCUACCCAGGAGCGCACACACCCUGCACUCACCAGGGUGGCGGCAGAGAGGGGCAGGCGAGGGGGGAAAACAUAACACCUUCCUUUAGGAGGGAGGAAUGUGGGAAAUGGGUGGGUCUCCUAAGUUUCGGGGUAGGGGUUAACAGCCAGCCAGCCACCGAUCCCAAAGGAGCGGAUCAGCUCCCGACCUGCG